GUUGUUAUACUGGUCACUUAUGCCUUGUUUAUUUCAGUCAUUCACAAUGUGUUGUUCAUUAUGUGCAAGUCGAACUGUGACGCUCGACUACAUCAAUACCAGUUUGAACGACUAUAUUUGGUUCUAGUUAUUCCUGGUGUAGUUAACACAUGCCCUUUAUUUCAGUUGUACACAUUUAUCCAGUGUGAUGUUUAAGCAUUACCUACAUUCUAUUCAUUUGCAACAAUACCAGUUCGAAUUGCAAUAUUUGAUGGUUGUUAAGCCUGUUGUCGGUAACAUUGCCUUCCAUUUUAUAUCUGCUUUAACAACAUGUUGAAACCAACACAUUCAAGCUAUCAUUUGGAGAUGAUGUUGUUUUACCUUUGCUAUAUAUGUUUGAUGUUAAGAUUGCUGUACUUAUCAUGCCUUUCCACUACUUAUGCAGGACAACAAUGGGAGUGGCCACCAUUUUCUGCCGAGGUUAGCUUCAUCCCUCGGCUUGUACUUCCCCCGCCGUUCCAUAAUGUAGUGCAUAUAGAUCUAGGCCUGGACACUAGUUAGCUUCUAAUAUUGAAUUGUUGCUUGUAGGUACAUAUGCCCUUGGCAAGGAUCCACGCAUCAACCCUUUUUGUGUAUGGGGCAAUGAGAUAUUGAUGAACAAGCAUCAAGUGAGGAAACUGAUAAGGAUUAUUAGCAAAAAGAUACGAAUGGUGGCAAGCAAAUUAUUUGUUUAUGCUCUAUCCAACACAACAGUGAGUUGUAGGAUGGUUACUACAAACUCUGCAGCCUUGUCUUUUUAUUGCCCAUAAUGAGUUGUUAGACAACAAUGUCUUAAUCUUUUUCGUUCCUAGUGGUUCCCGAAGUAGUUCACUAAAGAUUACCUCACAAAUUACAUGAUUGUUGGACACGCAAUGAAGGUUAAAGUAUUUCAUCUAGACUACAAUGAGCAUCAAGAAGUGCUAAUGAAGACAGUGAAGGAUGGACGGGCAGCCAUCACAAGGGGUUGGCCUAGAGUUGUGCGUGCCUUACGCAUGGAGGAGGGCACAAUAUGGGCAUUCCGCUUCACCAUCUCCAGCAACCAGAAUGUCUUUCGCCUCUCUCUUUACAGUCUUUAGUACAACUGUGGUUCAUCAUUCUAUACUAGGUGCUUCUGUAGUUCUUCAGUAUAUGUACCUGUGCAUCGAAUUAUGGAUUCAUGGUUGAACCUAUAUUUGUAAUUAACAUGGUUGGAUAUGAAAUAAGUGAUUGCCU
rnacentral:lncRNA from 1 species